rnacentral:pre_miRNA from 1 species
AACAUUCAACGCUGUCGGUGAGUUUUGGCAGCAAUAGUAAACCAUCGACCGUUGACUGUACC